rnacentral:rRNA from 1 species
GAUGAACGCUGGCGGCGUGCCUAAUACAUGCAAGUCGAGCGAACGGACGAGAAGCUUGCUUCUCUGAUGUUAGCGGCGGACGGGAGAGUAACACGUGUAUAACCUACCUAUAUGACUGGGAUAACUUCGGGAAACCGGAGCUAAUACCGGAUAAUAUUGUGAACCGCAUGGGGCAAAAGGGAAAGACGGUCUUGCUGUCACUUAUAGAUGCAUCCGCGCUGCAUUAGCUAGUUGGUAAGGUAACGGCUUACCAAGGCAACGAUGCAUAGCCGACCUGAGAGGGUGAGCGGCCACACUGGAACUGAGACACGGUCCAGACUCCUACGGGAGGCAGCAGUAGGGAAUCUUCCGCAAUGGGCGAAAGCCUGACGGAGCAACGCCGCGUGAGUGAUGAAGGUCUUCGGAUCGUAAGACUCUGUUAUUAGGGAAGAACAUAUGUGUAAGUAACUGUGCACAUCUUGACGGUACCUAAUCAGAAAGCCACGGCUAACUACGUG